rnacentral:rRNA from 1 species
GAAACGACUGCUAAUACCGCAUAAGCCCACGGCUCGGCAUCGAGCAGAGGGAAAAGGAGUGAUCCGCUUUGGGAUGGCCUCGCGUCCGAUUAGCUAGUUGGUGAGGUAACGGCCCACCAAGGCGACGAUCGGUAGCCGGACUGAGAGGUUGAACGGCCACAUUGGGACUGAGACACGGCCCAGACUCCUACGGGAGGCAGCAGUGGGGAAUAUUGCACAAUGGGGGAAACCCUGAUGCAGCGACGCCGCGUGGAGGAAGAAGGUCUUCGGAUUGUAAACUCCUGUUGUUGAGGAAGAUAAUGACGGUACUCAACAAGGAAGUGACGGCUAACUACGUGCCAGCAGCCGCGGUAAAACGUAGGUCACAAGCGUUGUCCGGAAUUACUGGGUGUAAAGGGAGCGCAGGCGGGAGAACAAGUUGGAAGUGAAAUCCAUGGGCUCAACCCAUGAACUGCUUUCAAAACUGUUUUUCUUGAGUAGUGCAGAGGUAGGCGGAAUUCCCGGUGUAGCGGUGGAAUGCGUAGAUAUCGGGAGGAACACCAGUGGCGAAGGCGGCCUACUGGGCACCAACUGACGCUGAGGCUCGAAAGUGUGGGUAGCAAACAGGAUUAGAUACCCUGGUAGUCCACACCGUAAACGAUGAAUACGAGGUGUUGGAGGAUUGACCCCUUCAGUG